AUUGGGUUGGGUUUAGUAUCGCGCCGGUUAAUUUUGGCUCACUGUAACUAAAGGAGAGAACCAAAUUGAAAAUUUUAAACACGCAUGUAUACUUAAAUUCUUGAACUUUAUUUUAAAACAUAUUUUAUAAAAAUCGGUUCACAAAUUUUUCCAAAAAUUCACUUAAAAAAAUGCUAUUUUUUGCAAAUUUCUCAAUAUAUGCUAGUGUAUUUUCAUCUGUUGUGCAUUGGGGUCGGCUUUAGUAUACGAUCCCACGAUUUCAGGGUUAAAAGUGGUAUGGUUAAAUAGAUCUGAUGCUCCAGAUUAAGAAAAUAGGCAAUAUUACGAUUUUUUUUUUGAUUAAAAGUCUUUUUUGCGUUGACGGCCUUCAGCCGCGCUUCAAAAAAAAAAUAACACUGGAUGAUCCAACACCGGCGUGUGUCAGGUUUUUUUUGAGUAAAAAUCUUUUUUUGCGUUGGUGGCCUUUGGCCGCGCUUCAAAAAAAUAACACUGGACGAUCCAACACCGGGGUGUGACGGAUUUUUUUUUUUUUGAGUAAAACUCGUGGCCGAUCCAACAUCGGGGUGUGUCGGAUUUUUUUUUUGAGUAAAGCUCCUUUUUGCGUUGGCGGCCUUCGGCCGCACUUCAAAAAAAUAACCCUGGCCGAUUCCGAUUACUUUGGCGGCGGGGUAAAAAAACCGAAUUUCCGUAUAAAUGGGGUAUGUAACGGAUAGGGGGGCUUCUAUAGAGGCGGAAUAUCCAAAAAUCAUGUGAAAAUAGCUAAUAUUUUUAAAAAUAUUCACGUUUAAAAAAUCAAAAAUUCGCACUAAGAACACAUGUUAUUUCUCCAUGUUUCACAGAAUUUUUCACGUUUUUCUUUCACUAUAAUUAAAUAUACACUCUUAACAUUGAAAUCAGUUCGAUUUUCACUUUCAUUUCUUAAUUUUUCAGCCAAAUUUAGUAAUUUAAAAUCACAUAUAAAAUUUAUGGCUGAAAAGUUUAGAGUGUUUAUAUUUACGAGGAAAACCAGCGUUGCCACACCUUAAAAACCAAAAGUGAAGAAUUUUUUAGCGUUUCACAGCGUUUUUAUAUCGAUAUUCGCAAUAUACGAGUCUGAUCGUGAAUUGGCAAAAAUGAGAAAUACAUAAUAGGAAAAUUUAUAAUUAAUUAUUAUUGCAGAAAGAAGAAGAAUUUGGACACAGAAGAAUUUUGAACACCGGGGCUCGAGCGCUCGAAAAAUAAUAUCCCUGGUCGGUCCAAAACCCCGGUGUUCAAAAUUCUUCUGUGUCCAAAUUCUUCUUCUUUCUGCAAUAAUAAUUAAUUAAAAAUUUUCCUAUUAUGUAUUUCUCAUUUUUGUCAAUUCACGAUCAGACUCGUAUAUUGAGAAUAUCGAUAUUUUUAUUUCUUUUUAUUUUUCCAAUUAUUAUUAUUUUUAUAAUAUGUAUUUCUCAUUUUUACAAAUUUUCUUUCUGACUCGAAUAUUGAGAAUAUCGAUAUUUUAAUUUCUUUUUAUUUUUCCAAUUAAUAACAUAAAAUUAAAUAACGCGCCAUACAUAUUCGUGAAUCGGAAUUAAAAACGAAUUUUUUAAGACAAUUCCCGUGAAAAUUGGUGCACGUUUUCGGAAAAGCCGCUCUGCUGAACAUUUACCGUAUAUAAUAUUGCUUAUUUGCUUGAUAAAUUUAUACAAGAAAAUAUCCAUAUGCAUGAAUAGAGGAAUUUUGCGAAAAAAGAGGAAUUUCACGAAUUGCCUUAUCAUCACAUGGCAGCGCUCCAUUUCGUCGUAAUUUUUGGUAAACAAAUGAGGUUCAAACAAGCGUAAAAUGUAAUUUUUAAAAUAAAGAUUUUUUAGGUAAAAAACCUGUUAAAUGUGUAAAAUGUGGUUUUAUUUAAAAGUUAAUAGUGUAAAUUAAUUAAUUUGAAGUGAAAAAUGUGAAAAAAGUGCGUUUAAUGUGGUGAAAUAGCGUCUUGAAAUGGUCCAAUUUUGCGAUUUUUCGGACUUUAAGGUCGAAUAUCUCGUAAACUAAGCGUUUGCGGACCCUAUAACCCUAUAUAUUUUUUAAUCAGGAGGACUUCCUCUUUCCAACGGUACCUUCAGAUCGCGGCGCCAAAGUAAUCGGAAUUGUGCCUAAUUUUUGAUCGGGCAGGCCACCAACGCCAAAAAGGAGUUUUACUCAAAAAAAUACCUGACACACCCCGGUGUUGGAUCGGCCAGGGGCAAUAUUACGAUUUUUCCGGCGCUGCGAUUUGAUGGUACGGAUGGAUAGAGGAGGUCCUCAGCAUUAAAAAAUGUAUACACAUAUACCGUCCUCAGACCAAUAGUUUUCGAGAUAUUUCACUUUAAAGUUCAAAAAUUUGUAAAAACAAUGCUCGUUAUUUCACUAUGUUUACCCCACUUUUCACAUAUUUUUUAAUUAAUAUAUAUUUAAUUACACUGUACACAUUCGUAUUUAUCAAAAAUUUACACUAAUUGUAUAUUUUUUAAGAAAAUAAAUAUACUUUAAAAAUUAUUUUGCACAUUCAAAGUUUCAAGUGAUUUGCGUGUUUACAUUUAUGACAAAUAGCAGUGUUGCCAUACUUUGUGUCAUGAAAAUAUAAUCAAAAAUGUGUAUAUUAUAUAUUAAAUAGAAAAAACGUAUUAUAGAAUGGAAAGUUUUUCAGUUUUUCUCCCUUUUUGAUUAAAAUAGGUGUUCGAUCGAUGAGGGUUAUUUUUUUGAAGCGCGGCCGAAAGCCGCCAGUGCAGAAAGUAGUUCGACACAAAAGAACUAUGAAUACCCCGGUGUUCGAUCGAUGAGGGUUAUUUCUUUUGAAGCGCGGCCGAAGGCCGCCAGUGCAGAAAAUAGUUCGACACAAAAGAACUAUGAAUACCCCGGUGUUCGAUCGAUGAGGGUUAUUUUUUUGAAGCGCGGCCGAAGGCCGCCAGUGCAGAAAGUAGUUCGACACAAAAGAACUAUGAAUACCCCGGUUUUCGAUCGAUGAGGGUUAUUUUUUUGAAGCGCGGCCGAAGGCCGCCAGUGCAGAAAGUAGUUCGACACAAAGGAAUGUUAUUUUUUAUCUUUAUUUAUCAAUUAACAUAAUAUACAAAAACCGUUUGUAUCAUUUUCUUUAUAAAUGUUAAAAAGAAAAAUUUUUCAUAGUUUUUUUAAAACAUAAUAUGUGGCAACACUGGUACUUGUAAUGACAUGUGAAGAAAAACAAAACAAAACAAAAUAGGACUAAAUUGCAUGUAAAAUUGUGGAACUUUAAAGUGAAAUAUCUCGGAAACUAUGCGUCUGAGGACGGUAUAUGUGUAUACAUUUUUUAAUCCUGAGGACCUCCUCUAUCCAUUCGUACCAUCAAAUCGCGGCGCCGGAAAAACCGUAAUCGUGCCUAUAAAAUGCUUAUUUUAAGCAAAUAACUAAAUAAUUACUAAAAAAUAAAUAUGUAGAAACAAUGUAAUGAAGUAUAAGUGCACAAAAAGUGUAUAAUAUGAAAUAAAUAGUUACUAGAAAUCGAGAAAUUGCAAGAUAAAAUUUGCAACUUUAAAUGCAAAUAUCUCGAAAACUAUAAGUUUGCGGCGGCAAAAAUUAUAUAUUUUCUUAAUCUGGAGCAUCAGCCCUAUUCAACCAUAUCACUUUUAACCCUGAAAUCGUGGGAUCGUAUACUAAAGUUUCCCCGUGCAUUGUACCAAACCAAUUAUGGAUACAUUUUCACGCACAUAUAUUACUUAUGAAUUAUAAAAACCACUAGUAAUGUUUUUAAUUGCUUUUGAUUGUUAAUUUCUUUGUAAAUCUUUAAAUAAAAUACACCUUUUUCUGCAUUAAGUUCAAUAAUGCGAAAAACCAAAAUGACUGCCUAAUUUGAACUGUCAAAUUGCCGAGAAAGCACGAACAAAAGGGAAUAAAUUAAACCCAGUUAGCAACAAAUGUGUGAAGUGAACGCGAAAAGGUGUUCAGUGCUAAAAUACUGUGGAUGGCGUAGCCGGUGUUGGACCGGCCAGGGUUAUUUUUUUAAAGCGCGGCCGGAGGACGCCCACGCAAAAAGAGUUCUAUGCGAAAAAAAAAUUGAUACACCCCCGUGUUGGACCGAUCAGGGUUUUUUUUUGAAGCGCGGCCGAAUGCCGCCAACGCAGAAAGGAGUACUACACGAAAGUACAUCAGUCACCCCGGGUUAUUUUUUUAGGGCGCGGCAAAGCAAUCGCUCUCAUCACGAAAAAAGUGUCCAACGUGGCAAAAAAUGAAAGAUUUUCUCACCACCCAAUAUGAAAUUGCGGAAAGGUUAGAAGAAAAAAUAAUCAAAACUAAGUACAAACACGACCAAAAUGGAAGCUUAAAUAGACCCCAACUAGUGUUCUGCGCCCUCGGCUAGUUCACCAACAUUAAGCCGAAUUACAUGUUUUUUGUCUACAUACAAAACUAGGCAAAAUAUUCGCCUAGGGGGCCCAGGAUGUUUAAAUGAGUUAAGCAUCCUCCCCCUCUACUCGGUAAAAGUGGUGCAUCUUAAUAACACAGCUCAAUUCACCACAGUUGAUGACACUUCAAUAGAAUUCACCUCAUCAGUACACCCACUAAACAAAAAGGAGGGACAACGGAAUAGCAGACUACUUUCGUUACACACAUUCAAUUCGAUCUUCACAAGCAACACAUGCAAUUCGUCACGUAUACUGCGCACGUCUACUCUCCGCUUACAACCCCCGUCCCGCGCACUACAGCAAGCUUUUGGUCAACAGCGAUCUGACGCGCUAUCCACAUACGCUCGUUUAUGCUGGUUCCCCAAAUAAUUGAACAUUUAAUGUAAAUAAAAUAAACUGUGUAAAAAUACAUACAUAUAAAGACUCGUAAUAAAUUCUAUUUUUUCAUACUACUCAAGUAACCUGGUACUUUUAUUUCAAAUGUGCAUGACAUUGUAUCCAAUGGUUACAAACUUAUUCAGCUGGGUUGCAUUGGUUUCAGUUUGUAUGGAAAAAUGAGCAAAAACACUGAUUUUUGGUCAUUUUCAAAGGGCUCCCUACAGGUCUAUAUGUUGCUCUAGGGGGUCGAGGGAGGGCUUAUUUAAAAGUUCGAUCCUUCCUCUUUCCAAUAAGAGGGCGUGAGGGGGGUAGCCCUCCCCUGUUUUUCUCCAUAAACGACACUAAACCGGCGCAGUACUAAACAUUUCGCUAAAUAUUUUUUUUAUUUGAUGUUUUAAACAAUAAUAAAGAAGCAGGAAUAGCUAAUGAUGUGAAACUCUAUUAAUUUGUGGUUAAAUAGGCUGAUAGAGUUAGCGCUCCUGAAUGACGGAUAAAAAAAAGUUAGGUGUGAAAAAAGUAAAAAAAAAUGUUCUGAAAUCGGAGCGUCAUCAGAAAUAUAUCUAAAAAGUGGGUCAGGUGGCGGAAUCUCGUUGAAGGUGUUGAUAGCUUGAAUGUAAAUGGCGGUCAGUGCCUGUCGAAAGUUAGUUGCGUAGUUAAGGAAAGACCUCUAAGGAAAAACCUCUUGAUGUUCCUAGGAGGCGAUUCCGCUCCAAGCAGUUGGCUGCAAAGGUGAUUUCUAGGAAAAUGUCCCAGUGGGAACUGCUUUUAGAGGAGUCCAUUAUGCUCCUUUACCUGAAGCAUAACCGUCUCACUAUGUAUGUGUUCGAUGGGGGACAUCAAGAGGCAUCCUGUCGUUGUCCGGAGUCCAAUGUUCUGGCAGGUCUGAAGUCAGAGUGGAAUUGUUUUCUGUCAUUCGGUCCCUCGGCAAUAUUACGAGUCUUGCGGCGCUGCGAUUUGAUGGUACGGAUGGAUAGAGGAGGUCCUCAGCAUUAAAAAAUGUAUACACAUAUACCGUCCUCAGACCAAUAGUUUUCGAGAUAUUUCACUUUAAAGUUCAAAAAUUUGUAAAAACAAUGCUCGUUAUUUCACUAUGUUUACCCCACUUUUCACAUAUUUUUUAAUUAAUAUAUAUUUAAUUACACUGUACACAUUCGUAUUUAUCAAAAAUUUACACUAAUUGUAUAUUUUUUAAGAAAAUAAAUAUACUUUAAAAAUUAUUUUGCACAUUCAAAGUUUCAAGUGAUUUGCGUGUUUACAUUUAUGACAAAUAGCAGUGUUGCCAUACUUUGUGUCAUGAAAAUAUAAUCAAAAAUGUGUAUAUUAUAUAUUAAAUAGAAAAAACGUAUUAUAGAAUGGAAAGUUUUUCAGUUUUUCUCCCUUUUUGAUUAAAAUAGGUGUUCGAUCGAUGAGGGUUAUUUUUUUGAAGCGCGGCCGAAAGCCGCCAGUGCAGAAAGUAGUUCGACACAAAAGAACUAUGAAUACCCCGGUGUUCGAUCGAUGAGGGUUAUUUCUUUUGAAGCGCGGCCGAAGGCCGCCAGUGCAGAAAAUAGUUCGACACAAAAGAACUAUGAAUACCCCGGUGUUCGAUCGAUGAGGGUUAUUUUUUUGAAGCGCGGCCGAAGGCCGCCAGUGCAGAAAGUAGUUCGACACAAAAGAACUAUGAAUACCCCGGUUUUCGAUCGAUGAGGGUUAUUUUUUUGAAGCGCGGCCGAAGGCCGCCAGUGCAGAAAGUAGUUCGACACAAAGGAAUGUUAUUUUUUAUCUUUAUUUAUCAAUUAACAUAAUAUACAAAAACCGUUUGUAUCAUUUUCUUUAUAAAUGUUAAAAAGAAAAAUUUUUCAUAGUUUUUUUAAAACAUAAUAUGUGGCAACACUGGUACUUGUAAUGACAUGUGAAGAAAAACAAAACAAAACAAAAUAGGACUAAAUUGCAUGUAAAAUUGUGGAACUUUAAAGUGAAAUAUCUCGGAAACUAUGCGUCUGAGGACGGUAUAUGUGUAUACAUUUUUUAAUCCUGAGGACCUCCUCUAUCCAUUCGUACCAUCAAAUCGCGGCGCCGGAAAAACCGUAAUCGUGCCUAUAAAAUGCUUAUUUUAAGCAAAUAACUAAAUAAUUACUAAAAAAUAAAUAUGUAGAAACAAUGUAAUGAAGUAUAAGUGCACAAAAAGUGUAUAAUAUGAAAUAAAUAGUUACUAGAAAUCGAGAAAUUGCAAGAUAAAAUUUGCAACUUUAAAUGCAAAUAUCUCGAAAACUAUAAGUUUGCGGCGGCAAAAAUUAUAUAUUUUCUUAAUCUGGAGCAUCAGCCCUAUUCAACCAUAUCACUUUUAACCCUGAAAUCGUGGGAUCGUAUACUAAAGUUUCCCCGUGCAUUGUACCAAACCAAUUAUGGAUACAUUUUCACGCACAUAUAUUACUUAUGAAUUAUAAAAACCACUAGUAAUGUUUUUAAUUGCUUUUGAUUGUUAAUUUCUUUGUAAAUCUUUAAAUAAAAUACACCUUUUUCUGCAUUAAGUUCAAUAAUGCGAAAAACCAAAAUGACUGCCUAAUUUGAACUGUCAAAUUGCCGAGAAAGCACGAACAAAAGGGAAUAAAUUAAACCCAGUUAGCAACAAAUGUGUGAAGUGAACGCGAAAAGGUGUUCAGUGCUAAAAUACUGUGGAUGGCGUAGCCGGUGUUGGACCGGCCAGGGUUAUUUUUUUAAAGCGCGGCCGGAGGACGCCCACGCAAAAAGAGUUCUAUGCGAAAAAAAAAUUGAUACACCCCCGUGUUGGACCGAUCAGGGUUUUUUUUUGAAGCGCGGCCGAAUGCCGCCAACGCAGAAAGGAGUACUACACGAAAGUACAUCAGUCACCCCGGGUUAUUUUUUUAGGGCGCGGCAAAGCAAUCGCUCUCAUCACGAAAAAAGUGUCCAACGUGGCAAAAAAUGAAAGAUUUUCUCACCACCCAAUAUGAAAUUGCGGAAAGGUUAGAAGAAAAAAUAAUCAAAACUAAGUACAAACACGACCAAAAUGGAAGCUUAAAUAGACCCCAACUAGUGUUCUGCGCCCUCGGCUAGUUCACCAACAUUAAGCCGAAUUACAUGUUUUUUGUCUACAUACAAAACUAGGCAAAAUAUUCGCCUAGGGGGCCCAGGAUGUUUAAAUGAGUUAAGCAUCCUCCCCCUCUACUCGGUAAAAGUGGUGCAUCUUAAUAACACAGCUCAAUUCACCACAGUUGAUGACACUUCAAUAGAAUUCACCUCAUCAGUACACCCACUAAACAAAAAGGAGGGACAACGGAAUAGCAGACUACUUUCGUUACACACAUUCAAUUCGAUCUUCACAAGCAACACAUGCAAUUCGUCACGUAUACUGCGCACGUCUACUCUCCGCUUACAACCCCCGUCCCGCGCACUACAGCAAGCUUUUGGUCAACAGCGAUCUGACGCGCUAUCCACAUACGCUCGUUUAUGCUGGUUCCCCAAAUAAUUGAACAUUUAAUGUAAAUAAAAUAAACUGUGUAAAAAUACAUACAUAUAAAGACUCGUAAUAAAUUCUAUUUUUUCAUACUACUCAAGUAACCUGGUACUUUUAUUUCAAAUGUGCAUGACAUUGUAUCCAAUGGUUACAAACUUAUUCAGCUGGGUUGCAUUGGUUUCAGUUUGUAUGGAAAAAUGAGCAAAAACACUGAUUUUUGGUCAUUUUCAAAGGGCUCCCUACAGGUCUAUAUGGGGCUCUAGGGGGUCGAGGGAGGGCUUAUUUAAAAGUUCGAUCCUUCCUCUUUCCAAUAAGAGGGCGUGAGGGGGGUAGCCCUCCCCUGUUUUUCUCCAUAAACGACACUAAACCGGCGCAGUACUAAACAUUUCGCUAAAUAUUUUUUUUAUUUGAUGUUUUAAACAAUAAUAAAGAAGCAGGAAUAGCUAAUGAUGUGAAACUCUAUUAAUUUGUGGUUAAAUAGGCUGAUAGAGUUAGCGCUCCUGAAUGACGGAUAAAAAAAAGUUAGGUGUGAAAAAAGUAAAAAAAAAUGUUCUGAAAUCGGAGCGUCAUCAGAAAUAUAUCUAAAAAGUGGGUCAGGUGGCGGAAUCUCGUUGAAGGUGUUGAUAGCUUGAAUGUAAAUGGCGGUCAGUGCCUGUCGAAAGUUAGUUGCGUAGUUAAGGAAAGACCUCUAAGGAAAAACCUCUUGAUGUUCCUAGGAGGCGAUUCCGCUCCAAGCAGUUGGCUGCAAAGGUGAUUUCUACGAAAAUGUCCCAGUGGGAACUGCUUUUAGAGGAGUCCAUUAUGCUCCUUUACCUGAAGCAUAACCGUCUCACUAUGUAUGUGUUCGAUGGGGGACAUCAAGAGGCAUCCUGUCGUUGUCCGGAGUCCAAUGUUCUGGCAGGUCUGAAGUCAGAGUGGAAUUGUUUUCUGUCAUUCGGUCCCUCGGCAAUAUUACGAGUCUUGCGGCGCCGCGAUUUGAUGGUACCGAUGGAUAGAGGAGGUCCUCAGGAUUAAAAAAAUGUGUUGACAUAUACCGUCCUCAGACUUAUAGUUUUCGAGAUAUUUCACUUUAAAGUUCAAAUAUUUGUUAAAACAAUGCUCGUUAUUUCACUAUGUUUAACCCACUUUUCACACAUUUUUUAAUUAAUAUAUAUUUAAAUACACUGUAGACAUUCGUAUAUAUCAAAAAUGUAUACUAAUUGUAUAUUUUUUAAGAAAAUAAAUAUACUUUAAAAACAAUUUUGCACACAAAGGAACUAUGAAUAUCCCGGUGUUCGAUCGAUGAGGGUUAUUUUUUUUGAAGCGCGGCCGAAGGCCGCCAGUGCAGAAAGUAGUUCGACACAAAGGAACUAUGAAUACCCCGGUGUUCGAUCGAUGAGGGUUAUUUUUUUUGAAACGCGGCCGAAGGCCGCCAGUGCAGAAAGUAGUUCGACACAAAGGAACUAUGAAUACCCCGGUGUUCGAUCGAUGAGGGUUAUUUUUUUUGAAACGCGGCCGAAGGCCGCCAGUGCAGAAUAUAGUUCGACACAAAGGAACUAUGAAUACCCCGGUGUUCAAUCGAUGAGGGUUAUUUUUUUUUAAGCGCGGCCGAAGGCCGCCAGUGCAGAAUAUAGUUCGACACAAAGGAACUAUGAAUACCCCGGUGUUCGAUCGAUGAGGGUUAUUUUUUCUGAAACGCGGCCGAAGGCCGCCAGUGCAGAAAGUAGUUCGACACAAAGGAACUAUGAAUACCCCGGUGUUCGAUCGAUGAGGGUUAUUUUUUUUGAAACGCGGCCGAAGGCCGCCAGUGCAGAAAGUAGUUCGACACAAAGGAAUAUUAUUUUUUAUCUUUAUUUAUCAAUUAACAUAAUAUACAAAAACCAUUUGUACCAUUUUCUUUAUAUAUGUAUGUUAAACAGAAACAUUUUUAAUAGUUUUUUUAAAAGACAAUAUGUGGCAACACUGGUAUUUGUCAUGACAUGUAAAGAAAAACAAAACAAAACUAAAUAAGAGUGAAUUGCAUGUAAAAUUGUGGAACUUUGAAGUGAAAUAUCUCGAAAACUAUGCUUCUGAGGACGGUAUAUGUAUAUAACGGGUGAUUUUUUUGAGGUUAGGAUUUUCAUGCAUUAGUAUUUGACAGAUCACGUGGGAUUUCAGACAUGGUGUCAAAGAGAAAGAUGCUCAGUAUGCUUUGACAUUUCAUCAUGAAUAGACUUACUAACGAGCAACGCUUGCAAAUCAUUGAAUUUUAUUACCAAAAUCAGUGUUCGGUUUUUUUUUUUUUUUUCGGACAAAUUUUGUUCAGCGAUGAGGCUCAUUUCUGGUUGAAUGGCUACGUAAAUAAGCAAAAUUGCCGCAUUUGGGGUGAAGAGCAACCAGAAGCCGUUCAAGAACUGCCCAUGCCUCCCGAAAAAUGCACUGUUUGGUGUGGUUUGUACGCUGGUGGAAUCAUUGGACCGUAUUUUUUCAAAGAUGCUGUUGGACGCAACGUUACGGUGAAUGGCGAUCGCUAUCGUUCGAUGCUAACAAACUUUUUGUUGCCAAAAAUGGAAGAACUGAACUUGGUUGACAUGUGGUUUCAACAAGAUGGCGCUACAUGCCACACAGCUCGCGAUUCUAUGGCCAUUUUGAGGGAAAACUUCGGACAACAAUUCAUCUCAAGAAAUGGACCCGUAAGUUGGCCACCAAGAUCAUGCGAUUUAACGCCUUUAGACUAUUUUUUGUGGGGCUACGUCAAGUCUAAAGUCUACAGAAAUAAGCCAGCAACUAUUCCAGCUUUGGAAGACAACAUUUCCGAAGAAAUUCGGGCUAUUCCGGCCGAAAUGCUCGAAAAAGUUGCCCAAAAUUGGACUUUCCGAAUGGACCACCUAAGACGCAGCCGCGGUCAACAUUUAAAUGAAAUUAUCUUCAAAAAGUAAAUGUCAUGAACCAAUCUAACGUUUCAAAUAAAGAACCGAUGAGAUUUUGCAAAUUUUAUGCGUUUUUUUUUUUUAAAAAGUUAUCAAGCUCUUAAAAAAUCACCCUUUAUAUUUUUUAAUCCUGAGGACCUCCUCUAUCCAUCGGUAUCCAUCAAAUCGCGGCGCCGCAAGAAUGGUAAUCGUGCCGGUCCCUCGAUAUCCUGUUACGAUUUUCAUGCAAAUGCGACAAUUUUUCACAAUAACAUGUAUAGCUUUUAUAUACAAACAUUUUUAAAUAUAUGUUAAUUCAGCUCGUUUCUAUUCGUUUACUAAUAUUAUUGGUAUAGUUCAUAUAGAAUCCAUGUUUUCUCGCACAAUAGUUCUGCAGCAUUUUAAAUGGAAUUGUAUAUUGCGACAGUAUCAUUGAAAUACGUUACAUCAAGAGAAUCUGAAGCAUCCAUUCCGUUGGAGAGACGAAGUCCUGAUUAAAAAAUAUCGAAAGGUUAUAGGUACUGCAAACGCUUAGUUUACGAGCUAUUUCACUGCAUUUAACACACUUUAGCAGAUUUUUCACUUCAAAUUCAGGGAAAACUUUAGAAUACCGUUCCAGGCUUUCGGAAAUGAAAUGGGUAUGGUGGGAUAGAGGAGGUUCCUCAGAUAAAGAGUAUAAAUUAUAGCCGCAGAAAACCAAUAGUUUUCGAGAUAUUAAAGUUGAAAAUUACCGCUAUAUGAAUUACGAAUUUUUUGGAAUUAAAAUUAAUUUUACACUUAUAUUUUUAAUUUUUAUGUUCACUAACACUUCAUUAAAACGUUUGUUCACAUUUUUUUUACAUUAUAUUCGUAUAAGCGCAAAACUAGUUUUAUAUCAAUAUUAAACCUAUUGUCCAAAUCUAUUUAUUUGAUAACAACUAAAGGGUUGCAAUCUGUCAAAUAAUCAAUGCUUCAAAAAAUAGCACUGGUCGGUUCAACACUCCUUGUCAAGUUUUUUCGCUUUAAAUUUCUUUUUUUAAUCUUCUAUUGUAUUUUUGUUAGUUUGUUCAAAUAUCUUAGAAUGGUAACACUAAUUAUAUGACAGUUGGUGGGGUUUUCGGGUCGGCUUUAGUAUACCGCCCCAGGAUUUCGGGAAUAAAAUGGGUAUGGUCGGAUAGAGGAAGGUCUCCAGAUCACGAAUAUAUGGUUAUAGCCGCAGGAAGCUUAUAGUUUCCGAGUUAUUCGCGUUUAAAGUUGAAAAUUUGCAAUAUUUUAUUUACAUAUUUUCGAUAUAUAAAAUUAAUUUUGCACUUAUAUUUUUCAAUUUUAUAUACACUAACACAUCACUUAUUCAUUUGUAUCAUAUGUAAAAAUAAAUUUGUAAAUUUGUCAAAUAAUCAGUGUACCAUACUAAAAUAUUUUACAAACUAAAACAAAAAAAUAUAAGGAAAUAUUAUACCCUAAAUACAGGAAACAUAAUCGUUGAUAAACAAUAAAAAAUAUAUAAAAAAUUUAAGCGGCCUGAAUGCCGCCAAUGUAAAAAUAAGUUCUACGGGAGAAACAGAAAACGUAUACACCCGGUGUUGGAUAGACAAGGGUAAUUUUUUUGAAGCAAUGCCGAAGGCCGCCGACGCAAAAAGGAAUUCUACGCGAAAAUAAUUUGAUACACCCCGGUGUUGGACCGACCAGAGUUAUUUUUUUUUUGAAGCGCGACCGAAGGCCGCCCACGCAAAAAGGAGUUCUACGCGAAGAAGUAGCAAUGUCAUAGACGGUAUGUUAGUUAGGUUAGGUUAGUAUGGUAACACUGAUUAUUUGACAAUUUGUAAUUUAUUUGUUAUUCUAAAAUAAUAAUAAUUCAACAAUAAUUUAAAUGUAUAUUAAAAGCUAUUUUUGCACUAUAUUAUAUAAAAUAAAUGUGUGCAACUGAACAAGUGAUGUGUAAGUGUAUAUAAAAUUUAAAAAUAAAAGUGCAAAAUUAUUUUUAUAUAUCAAAAAUAUGUAAAUAAAAUUUGCAAAUUUUCAACUUUUAAAGCGAAUAACUCGGAAACUAUAAGCUUCCUGCGGCUAUAACCAUAUACAUAUAUCCUUGAUCCGGAUAAUCUCCUCUAUCCGACCAUAUCCUUUUUAUUCUUGAUAUCCUGGGACGGUAUACUAAACUCUUCCCUGUUUUUCUUGUAGCGCUGCCGUGUAUAUUUCUAAGCAGGAACAGCGAAAAACGUAGAAUCGUGGCCCGUGUCAGCUGACACGACCUAUCUUAUGGGCGCGCAAUGUAAGUGAACAGCGAAAAACGCUACUCCUUUCUCUCUUUACCGUAAGAUGCCGUGAGAAUCUACGGCAUUUGGAUUUUUGCCGUAGAAACGUGUCAGCUGAUCGCUCUCUCACAACGCAGGGUUGCCAAUCCCGAUAUACUGUAGUAAUUAUAAAAGUUCUUCAAUAUGUUUGAAAUUUUCUUAAUAUAACUCAAAAUCAGAGUCGGAAGCUAUUAUAUAUACAUAGAUAUGUACAAAACUCUAUAUGCGUAUAGAGCAAUGGCAACAUUGUUCAAAUGAAAACAAAAAAGAUGGCUGAUUUCUGCUUUUUACCACGGGCUCAACUUUUAACACAUUUUGCUGGAAAAGGAAGGAAGGGAGUAGAGUUUUUCACUGUUCCAGCUAAAGGCACUCUGUGCACUGUUGGGAUUUUCACGACUUUCUUGUAAUAUUUUACGCUCUUCACUUACUGUCAGUAACUUUGGUCGUUCAAACAGUUUUAAUGCGCACAAAACCAUGAUCACAAUCAAAAUGAAUGCAACUAAAAUUAAAUUAAAUCCUAAUAUGCAGCCGUAAUAUUAUUGAAAAAUAGAAAAACAAACAAAAUUGGCACCAACCAGCAGAAUUAAAACCGAAAACAAAAUACUUUUGUGAGCCAAAGUUCCGCCGAAAUGCACAUGUUUUGUUUGAUCUGCAUAACGGGACAAUAUUUAUUUUCAUUGUUUACUGUUUUUUUUUUUUAAGAAAAAUUGGAUAAAUAAACUUACACAUUUAAAUAAAAGAAAUCGCCUACUUUAACCACUGAAAAUUUCAAUAAAAAGAAUGAUAAGGGUUAUGCAAAACAAUUCUGUGAACCACUGUAUCUACUAACAGUUAAGUUGCAUACUAACAAUUAUAUAGAGUUAUGCCAGUUUUGUAUAGAUUGAAGUUUAAGGUGAGUAGGGGUGUGGGUGGAUAGAAGCAGUUCUCCAGGGAAACUUAUAGUUCUUGAAAUUUUUACAUUAAAACUUAAAAAAGUCAACUAUGUAAAGUAUAUAAUUUUUCAAUGUAUGAAAAAUUUUAUAUCACUAUAUUGUCCAGUUUUAUAUCCACCAAGACAAAAUUAAUUUUUUUCUGCAUUAUUAAGUAGUAUCACAAAUACAUUAUUUAGCGAGCCGAUAUCGGCGGGUCCGACAAAUGAGUAGCUUCUUGAAGAGAAAGGAUGUGUACAAAAUUUCAGAUCGAGAGCUCAAAAAAUGAGGAACCACAGUGCGCUAAUUUUGGUUAGCCGCGCUCUUAAAAUAGUAAGUAGCUUUCACGCCAUAGUUUUAAUACAGUGCGCGAAUUUUCGCUAACCGAGCUCUAAAAUUAUAGAGAAAAUAACUGUGCACGCAACAGUUUUAAUAUUUUUGUGAACAAUAGUUGCUUGGUAAUAUAGUACGUAGAAAGUUAGCAUGCAUUCAAAAACAAGAGCAUAGCGGUACUAAAAUAUAAAAAUGUGAAUAUUGUCUGGCAACUGGUGCGAACUUUAGUUAGCCGCAGUCUUAUUUUCAUUGUUUUUGCGGUAAGUUCUCCGCUUUUUUAUAGUUUUUUGUGAAGUUUUGUUAACAUUUACGUUUAUUCAAUUUGAUUAUAUUCAGUGGACAACAGUGUGAUUGAAAUGGCUAGUAAAAAGCUUUUAAAUGAUGUGGAAAAGGGCCAAAUUGAAAAUUUGAAGGAAAUGGUCUUUCUAACAGAGCAAUCAGCUGGCAAAUUAAAAGACCAGAGAAAGUCGUGAGAAAUUUGAGAUUAUCCAAUAAAAAAUUAAGAAAAGAUACCACAAUAACUCGCCGGCAAGUUAAUAUUAUUUGAGAAGAAGCUACAAAAAAAUCGGUUGAGUGCCUCUAAAAUAGUAGCAAAAUUAAUCUCAGAAUUGGAAAAAGAAUAGUUCACAAGAUUUUAGCUGCAGACAGAAACAUAAUAAAGUGGAAAAGGGAAUUAAAAAAAACACAACUUACGCAUGUCCAUAAAGUAGUCAGACUUAAAUUUGCAAAGGAGAUAUGAGUUGGACCGAUUGCUGGCACGAUGUGAUUUUUUCUGAUGAAAAAAAACUCUGAUGCGUUCAGUUAUUACUGGCAUGAUUUGCACUAAAACAAUCCCUCUAGAAUGAGACGUAAUUUCGCGGGUGGAUUUGUGAUGCAGGACAAUGCCAGCAUCCAGGUUUCCAAGAAGGCAAAAGAUUUUUUUGCUUCGCGCUCUAUACCGUUGCUAGGAUGGCCAGCCAAAAGUGCAGAUUAAAACCCCAUUGAAAAUGUUUGGGGCAUACUACGUACACCCCGCGCAGGAGCUAAAAACCGUAAUUUUGGACAAAGGUAUACUGCAAAAGUUAAUUGACUCGAUCCCAGCCAGAAUUUUCCAAAUAAUUAUUAAGAAAAUGGGAUGCAACUUCAUAUUAGAAGCGCAAAAUUUGCUAAAUUUUUAUAAUGCGGCUAAGUAAAGUUCGCAUAUAGUUAAGUUGUAUUUUCAAUAUUUUAACUUUUUGUUUCUGUAAUACAUUUGAAAUGUAAAAUAUUAAACCACCAAAAAGCAUGUCCGACUAACCAAAAAAAACAACAGUUGUUAGGUAAUAUACCAUGCACAGAGCAGUUAGCAUGUCUACAAAAAUAAAAGCACAGCGGUACUAAAAUAACAAAA